UGUUGCCGUGGCGGAAUUGGAAGACGCUAGGAUGCGUAGGUGAUAGGUUUAAACCGCAUUAGAGAGACCCGAGUGCACACCUUGUAGGUUCGAGUCCUACCGGCAACAUUUC
rnacentral:tRNA from 1 species